AUGAGAGCACUGCACUGGGCCCGCUCAGCCAACGGAAGCCGCAACGUCCAGGCGUUUAUUCUCCCGCCGAGAGUUCAGUGUUUAGUCAAACAUGUCUCACUUGUGAUAAUGUUUAUUUGUGAUGGAUUCAUGGGAACGAAUUUUGACAAAAUGUUUCAAUUGUCAUUUCUGAAGUUGAACAGAAGGGCUAGGAAAGGAGAGGCCAGACAACCAUUCGCUGAUUUCGCUGACUUACUGUUGACCAAGCAAGGCCUGAAUCAUCUCCAGCUGGACUGGUUCACCAUUGUGGGCAACAGAGGUGUUCCCCAUGGAAUUUGCAAGUGGAGAGAACCUGAUGAUAUAUUUUGA
rnacentral:lncRNA from 1 species